rnacentral:rRNA from 1 species
GAUGAACGCUGGCGGCGUGCCUCAAACAUGCAAGUCGAGCGGGGCUAUGUAAUAUCGCAAGGUAGAACAUAGCCUAGCGGCGAACGGGUGAGUAACACGUGGGUAACCUGCCUGGAAGACAGGGAUAACGAUUCGAAAGGGUCGCUAAUACCUGAUAAUAUCCUUUCAUCGCAUGGUGAUAGGAAGAAAGGGGAAACCCGCUUUCAGAUGGGCCCGCGUCCCAUCAGCUAGUUGGUAAGGUAAAGGCUUACCAAGGCGACGACGGGUAGCCGGUCUGAGAGGAUGUACGGCCACACUGGGACUGAGAUACGGACCAGACUCCUACGGGAGGCAGCAGUGAGGAAUCUUGGUCAAUGGACGGAAGUCUGAACCAGCCAUGUCGCGUGAAGGAGGACGGCCCUAAGGGUUGUAAACUUCUUUUGCAGGGGGAAUAAAGUAUUCCACGAGAUGGGAUAUUGCAAGUACGCUGCGAAUAAGGAUCGGCUAACUCCGUGCCAGCAGCCGAC